CCAAUGAUUAUGAUGGAAAACCAGAAAGGGGGAUUGCUAUUACUAUGUCUUUCAGGCAAUUUGGCCUAAACUCAACCAAAUGCAAUACCUGAAAUUUGCUCCAAUUUGAUUCUUAACACAUUUUCAAUCAAAAGAUAGAUAGAAUAAAGAGACGCUGAUAUUUAUAAUCUUUUUAUCUUUAGUUUCAGCUCAUUAGAAAGCAAAUUACAUGAUAGGUGUAAGGAAUGCAUUCCCAGCAGCAUUUUUAUCUUCAAAACUAUCCAAACCCCAAAACCAAACCCAUAAUUUGAGUACAAACCUUAUACAAAAGCUAGCUACCUCGUAUGCAUCUCUUACAUCCCACGUUCAAAUAAGGGAAAAUAAGAAAAAGAAACGUACAUAACUCGAGAUUAAACAAAGCAGAAACAAAAAAUAAAGGUUAUGUUCUAAGAUUAGAGUCAAGUAAAAUCGGACCGCUACCCUCAAUUCCCCGCAAUGCAACGAUGGUGCUAGCCAGCACAAUUGCAAAGCCUUGUUUGUUUCUUUUGCCAUUCUCUGUCACCCGUAUUUAAAAACCAAGCAGUCAUGCCACCGGCACCAGCUCCUACCGCCAUUUCCCUUAUGUUCCCAGCAGAUAUCAGCAACUCCUUGAGUGCUUCCGGCAGUCAUCUUUUAGAAUCAAUUGCAAUGGAAAGAAAAAUAUAUGUAGCGAAAGUUUGUGCUGAAAAAGCAAAUAUGGCAAAGUAGCUUAGUAAGGAAAAGAGUGUGUGGAUAUAUGCAUAGGGGGACAAGGUG
rnacentral:lncRNA from 1 species